rnacentral:lncRNA from 11 species
GCUUUUAAUAGUUAUGUAGAAGAGGGAAUUUCAACAGGUGCUGCUUGUUACUUGGGUACAUGACAAGCAGUACUGGCUGAAAUUUCAUUUUCUACACAACCAUUAAAGUAAAGGAGUUUCUCUAGUUUUCAGUCGGGCAAUGCUAUGAACACAGAAGCAAGCUCUGCCCUAGCUUUAUCGCACAUGAAAUAUGCUUUACAGCAAGAAGCAUGAACAUUUUGCUCCUUGAAUUGGGUAGGCAAUUAGCUUUUGACAGUUGUCUACCACACCUGGCAGUAUGCUUGAUCUUCUGCCACUACUGUAUGGACAGCUGCAAUCUGUUCAGUCUGAAGAAGUUUGCACUGGAAAAAGAAGGAGUCUAGAUCGCUCAAUAAUGGUGUGUUUCUAGGACUUUACCGUAUGAAGUUGCUAUCCUGUAUCAUACUUGCAACCUGGGAUAGUGGCAAUGUAUCAGUAUUGCCACCCUUUAAGUUGCCGCCAUCCUGAAUUACGGGAAUGCAGUCAGUUCAAAACAUUUUGCUACUAGAGGUAAAAGACAAGAUCCUCUUUCCAUCCAUGUACAGAAUCCAGGUAGGAGAGAAAGGCAGAAGACAUUUGAAUGAGGAUUCUCAGCAGACUGAAUUCAGCCCAGAGGGCGGAUGUUCCUCUCUCAUCUUGUACAUUUAUAUGUGAUAUCAGAUCAAGUGUAAUACAUGUAGUGUGAGAUCAAGUGUAAUUAGUAGUGGGUAUGAUUUGAACUGGCAAGAUCCAAGUUUAAAAUUCUCACAUCAUACUCAUUGGCUGAUCCUGCUUCGGUCACUUUUUCAUUGCCUAAACUGCUUGCUGUGAGUUUGGGAUUGGAAGACACCUUGGAGGAAAGGUUGUAUAAAAAUGUCUUAAAUAAAAUGUCCCAUGUUGGGAGCUGUUUGUAUGAUGAGAGCUAGGUUUUUGGGUUCAUUAUUUAGGUAAGACACUGACUGCCAAAUGGUGCAUGAUAGUUUGAAGAACACCAAGGUUUAGAUAUACAGACUUGGCUGGUUGCUGGAGGACUGCUUGGAAUCUGCUGAUGCUGCAGACACCAACAUCUCUGUAGUUGAUCUGAUGAGGGAAGAAGCCCAGAACAAAACAAUGAGAUGUAUAGCAAGAAAGCAUAUACAGUACUGAUGGAAGUAUAGGGAAAUUGAACUUACUCCAACGUUGUCUACCCACAGAGUUCCAUGCGCUCAACUUCCAAGGUUUACUCAUGUGAUUGUUUGUUUACCCUAUUGCAGAAUAUAUAAGAGAUAAGCCAUCUCUUUUUUGGUGUUGUUAAUGGGAGUGGUAGUUUUAAAAAUUUGAAAACUAGACAACAGGAAUAUUCAUCAGUUCUGCUUCAGUUAAAGGCAUAUUACCCUGGGC